GACGAACGCUGGCGGCGUGCCUAAUACAUGCCAGUAGAACGCGGAAGUAGGAUCUUGCUCUUCUGGAUGAGUUGCGAACGGGUGAGUAACGCGUAGGUAACCUGCCUGGUAGCGGGGGAUAACUAUUUGAAACGAUAGCUAAUACCGCAUAACAGUAGAUGUUGCAUGACAUUUGCUUAAAAGGUGCAAUUGCACCACUACCAGAUGGACCUGCGUUGUAUUAGCUAGUUGGUGGGGUAACGGCUCACCAAGGCGACGAUACAUAGCCGACCUGCGAGGGUAAUAGGCCACACUGGGAUGGAGACACGGCCCAGAACACUAGGAGUGGGAGCAGUAGGGAAUCUUCGGGAAUGGACGGAAGGCUGAACGAGCAACGCCGCGUGAGUGAAGAAGGGUGUCGGAUCGUAAAGCUCUGUUGUAAGAGAAGAACGAGUGUGAGAGUGGAACGUUAAGACUGUGACGGUACCGUAAGAGAAAGGUACGGCUAACUACGUG
rnacentral:rRNA from 1 species